GCGGGAUUUCACCUUGCUGACCAGGCUGGUCUCAAACUCCUGGCCUGGGCAACAUGGUGAAACCCCAA
rfam:Gorilla gorilla gorilla genomic chromosome, chr21, whole genome shotgun sequence